CCCUUACCUCCUCCUACCUCGCCGGCGUGACGCUCUCCUCCCUCACUCCCAUCCGCCGCCGGCGAGGCCCUCUUCGCCGCCGUGUCCUCCUCGUCGUCGCUGUAUGGGGCGAGGCCGCGGCCAGCGAGGGGCUCGGUGGCGGCGCGGGGGGAUGGGGGAGCAGCUCGGCGUACGUCGGCGACGAGAUUCGAGUCAACGACGCCGCGCCGCCUCUCCCCUCAAAUCUCGGUAGACGAGUAUAUAUGAGGAUUGAGAGGUUCCGAUCACGGCGACGGAACGAACCCCUCCCUUGUUCGCCAUCGAUGGCUUCCUCGACGACAGACAGGGCCUCCGGCCUCCCACUCUCCCAGAGGCAAGAAAGCUCACCAGAGAAGCAAGCAGACAAGCUACCAAUUCUGAGGUAUAAUUUGUAGAUUAAUGACCUGUUGGAUCCAUUUCAGCAUAACCUUUAGGUAUAUUCUAAUCCUGUAUUUGGUGUUUGCUAAUGGAUUGCAGUAAACUUUUCCAACUCCAUUAUUAUAGAUAAGAGAGAAUGCUUGCAAUGGUGUACAUGUUGAGAACUUGAUCGAUGAGUAUGUGUCAACGGUUGAGGACGUCAAUGAAAUCUUGAUGAAGCUAUAAUUUUGAUCUACAAGAGCAGCAGAAAGAAAUUGUCCUUUCUAUUUUGCUUUUAAAACUAGGGUUUCUUUGCUUUUCAUUUUCACCUCUGCAUGGAUGAGGAUCACAACCAGGACCUCUGCUUGAGCUACCCUGUAGUCACAAAGACCUUUGUCUUGAUAACAAGCUGUAUUUUUGUUAAGAUCACAUAUAUUAGUUCUUGUAUCAUGCUCUCUCAAUACUAGUUGUUUCAUGUUGUCCUAAUAACUGAGUCACUGCCUUCUCCUCUAAGAGAUUAAAAUCUGAAUUGAAGUCUACCAUUGCUCCAGCGUUAUUGAUAGCUUGUCUAAGCUUGUUUUUCUUUACAGGGCCUUUCAAACAGAAAAGUUGGCACCACCAGUAUGAACUUGAAAAGGUUGUUCUCAUGUAAUAUUCACUUGUGUCAUUGAAGAAUGGAGCAAGGGUUGCUCAUCAAAUGGCUUCAACAGCUCACGGACUAGCAGAAUUACCUUUGUUGAUCUUGCUGGUCCUGAUAAUGAUGAACUUGAUGGUGGCAGCAAGCACUGUACAAGAGAAGAAAGAUAAGAAGCCCCUGUCAAAAGCUUGGGAAACUCAUCAAUAUUCUAUCAGAAGCACCAGAGACCAAGAAAGAUGACUCCCCACAAGUAAUCCUGUUUGACGCGUGAGCUGACGAAUACACUAGGUGUUGCAUUCUUAGAGCAUCUUCAGUAAUAGCUCCUAUUUUACAGUCCCUAAAAGUACAAUAGGGGCUUCCCCCAUUUCCUGAGUACCUAAAAAAUACCUUUAACUCCAGCAGCAGUCCCUUUUCUCACCCCUUAUUUCAUUUCAUCUUCUAUUUUAACAUAUACUUUAAAGUACUAAUAUAUAGUUCUAUACUCUACGCUACUCCUAGUAUGAAACCAUAAUAAUCCAACCAUAUUUAAAUUCACAAUUCAAAACAUCACAAUUCAAAUUCGAUUUUUUUUAAAAAAAAUAAAAUGGAAAUACAUAUCCUAGUAGCCUGUAUUCAUAGCUCGGGUGAAACGAGCUUCUGCUGCUAUCGCGCUUCCAUGGAGUUUCUCACAUGUGUUGAUUUUUCCUGUCUUCUCAUCCACCAAUAGACCUGCUACUUCUCUCGCGAAGCAACAACCAAGCAAAGCAACAAAAAAGCUGCAUAGCACAUCGCAUGUAUCACUUUCCCCAUCUAAAAAAAAUGUAAAAUUCCAUUAUCUAAAAAAAUGUAUCACUUUCCCCAUUCUUCUU